CGGGGGCAACCCUGGUGGCGAGUGGCGAACGGGUGAGUAAUGCAUCGGAACGUGCCCAUCGAUGGGGGAUAACUGCGCGAAAGCGUUGCUAAUACCGCAUACGACCUACGGGUGAAAGCAGGGGACCGCAAGGCCUUGCGUCGAUGGAGCGGCCGAUGCCGGAUUAGCUAGUUGGUGAGGUAAAGGCUCACCAAGGCGACGAUCCCGUAGCUGGUCUGAGAGGACGACCAGCCACACUGGGACUGAGACACGGCCCAGACUCCUACGGGAGGCAGCAGUGGGGAAUCUUGGACAAUGGGCGAAAGCCUGAUCCAGCAAUGCCGCGUGUGGGAAGAAGGCCUUCGGGUUGUAAACCACUUUUGGCGGGAAAGAAAUGGUCUGUGCUAAUACCACGGAUUGAUGACGGUACCCGCAGAAUAAGCACCGGCUAACUACGUG
rnacentral:rRNA from 1 species